rnacentral:rRNA from 1 species
AUUGAACGCUGGCGGCAGGCCUAACACAUGCAAGUCGAGCGGAUGAGUGGAGCUUGCUCCAUGAUUCAGCGGCGGACGGGUGAGUAAUGCCUAGGAAUCUGCCUGGUAGUGGGGGACAACGUUUCGAAAGGAACGCUAAUACCGCAUACGUCCUACGGGAGAAAGCAGGGGACCUUCGGGCCUUGCGCUAUCAGAUGAGCCUAGGUCGGAUUAGCUAGUAGGUGAGGUAAAGGCUCACCUAGGCGACGAUCCGUAACUGGUCUGAGAGGAUGAUCAGUCACACUGGAACUGAGACACGGUCCAGACUCCUACGGGAGGCAGCAGUGGGGAAUAUUGGACAAUGGGCGAAAGCCUGAUCCAGCCAUGCCGCGUGUGUGAAGAAGGUCUUCGGAUUGUAAAGCACUUUAAGUUGGGAGGAAGGGCAGUAAGCUAAUACCUUGCUGUUUUGACGUUACCAACAGAAUAAGCACCGGUUAACUUCGUGCCAGCCGCCGCGGUAACAC